CCUACGGGAGACAGCAGUGAGGAAUAUUGGUCAAUGGGCGAGAGCCUGAACCAGCCAAGUCGCGUGAGGGAGUACUGCCCUAUGGGUUGUAAACCUCUUUUGUCGGGGAGCAAAAGCCGGACGUGUCCGGCUGUGAGAGUACCCGAAGAAAAAGCAUCGGCUAACUCCGUGCCAGCAGCCGCGGUAAUACGGAGGAUGCGAGCGUUAUCCGGAUUUAUUGGGUUUAAAGGGUGCGCAGGCGGGUUUUUAAGUCAGCGGUAAAAUCGUGGGGCUCAACCCCAUCCAGCCGUUGAAACUGGGGAUCUAGAGUGUGCGAGAAGUAUGCGGAAUGCGUGGUGUAGCGGUGAAAUGCAUAGAUAUCACGCAGAACCCCGAUUGCGAAGGCAGCAUACCGGUGCACAACUGACGCUCAGGCACGAAAGCGUGGGUAUCGAACAGGAUUAGAUACCCGUGUAGUC
rnacentral:rRNA from 1 species